CCAGCUUUCCCGUUUCCAUCUGCCAUUGCCGAGUGUUGUGUGUGUGGUGUGUUAUUUUAAAGCUGCGAACUGAUUGGUUUUAAGAGGAUGGCAUUAAAUACAUCUGAAUAUUCCAAAGA